rnacentral:rRNA from 1 species
GAUGAACGCUAGCGACAGGCUUAACACAUGCAAGUCGAGGGGCAGCAUAAAAGUAGCAAUACUUUGGUGGCGACCGGCGCACGGGUGAGUAACGCGUAUGCAACCUACCUAUCAGAGGGGGAUAACCCGGCGAAAGUCGGACUAAUACCGCAUAAAACAGGGGCACCGCAUGGUGAUAUUUGUUAAAAAUUUAUUGCUGAUAGAUGGGCAUGCGUUCCAUUAGGUAGUUGGAGAGGUAACGGCUCACCAAGCCCACGAUGGAUAGGGGAACUGAGAGGUUGGUCCCCCAACUGGUACUGAGACACGGACCAGACUCCUACGGGAGGCAGCAGUGAGGAAUAUUGGUCAAUGGGCGAGAGCCCUGAACCAGCCAAGUCGCGUGAAGGAAGAAGGAUCUAUGGUUCGUAAACUUCUUUUGCAGGGGAAUAAAGUGCAGGACGUGUCCUGUUUUGUAUGUACCCUGAGAAUAAGGAUCGGCUAACUCCGUGCCAGCAGCCGCGGUAAA